CACUCUGCGGUGUCAAAGUCAAGCAUGUGGUGAGACUGCCAUCAGCAACGAAAAGUUUCGAUCACUGAAUUAUUUGAUUGUAGUGACCAUUUGGCAAAUGAGUCCGUCCACGGAAACGUUUGCUAUUGUUCCUCGAUUGCCUAAAUCUGUGUUAGUGUGUUACCCAUGUGUCCCGUAACGCCGUCCCUAACGUGGUUGAAACAAAUUUGUAAAAUCAAAGAAAUUAUGCUUGAAACAUCCAUGUGCCCAGAUCACAUUGGUACAACAGAGGCAUGGAUUGUUUCGCCUGUAUCGAAUGUUUCAAUCUCCCUUAUUGAAAAAAAUAAGUGCUACAAAAAGAUUCUGUUCUCUGUGUGAGUAAAAAUCACCCUACCGCCAAGUACUUGAUGAAGUGAACUCAAACAUUCAGUUACAGCAACAUCUAACUAUGUGAACUGUCAGAUGGAAUGUAUGCCUGAAAUCUGAAAAAUUCCAAUCUCCAGAAUGCAUGGGGACUGGGGUGGAUUACAGUUCCACAACGAACAAAAAAAAAUCGUUGAAAUGGUGUGGAAUCGUCGAGAGGCAACCCAGUUUUGCUUACGUGUUCAAGGAUCAAUGGAGAAAAAAUUGAGCAAAAUUCCUUAUUUCACUGUCAGACUCUGGAAUCUUUGGAUCACGACCGACAUUGGAGAGAAUGCUGGUUAUUCAUUGCAAAACUCAUCUUUGUAGAAAAAACGAAGAAAUUGGCUUUGGUGAUUAAACUCUUGUCUUUGAGGACAAAAUACGUGACAGCUCCUUGAGCCCCCAUCAAAUGAACUGUUGUUAGCAGUUUGGCCAAGACGGAAUUUGAAAAGUUCCUUUAUCACGAGCGAUAUUAUCUGAGGAAGGAUACUUCCACGGCACAGAAAACGAACAUAUGGCAACCACAAUUGCUAUCUGGAACUCGUCGAAUAAGUUGCUAGUGAGAGUCUGGUAUUAUUGUGGUGCGCACUUAAGUUAACUUACGGUUCAUAGUAAAGUUGGAAUCACUAUCAAGGGAAAAAGCAGUCGAAGACUCCUGUACCAAUUGACUUCAUAUUUUAGUUGGGUAUGGGAAAUUAAAAUUUAAAAAGAAAUUAAAAAAAAUCAAACCUUUGGGCGCUAGCGAAGAGUUGGAGCUAACCUGCAACUAUCGAGAUCAUCAAAACGAGAAGGAGAUUGUUGAAAAAAAAAUGGAUCAGCUCUUCAAAUUCAAAAAGCUAUUUUUUGAAAUUAGGCAUUAAGACACAUUUGUUAAUGAAUAAUUUAUUUAUUUUGAAUCGAAUUUAAUUUAAGUUAAAAUUUUUGUUCUAAGGAGCGGCAAAUGGAAGCAUAAUUGAUGACGGUGGAACAUUUCAGGAGACUUCAAUUUUAACAAGAACUUAAUAAUAAGCAGGAGCCAUGUACGAAGGAGCUUUGUAUGCUGGUGGAGAAUAUGCUGGUGGAGUGUAAGCGGGAGGUGUGUAUGCAGGAGGUGUGUAUGCAGGAGCCAUUGGUUUGUAUCCGUAUCCGGGAUUACCAGCCACCACCGCAACGGCAGCCAAGAAGCAAACGGC
rnacentral:lncRNA from 1 species